rnacentral:lncRNA from 1 species
ACUCAACCUUGCUCAGUGACAGCAGACACGGAAGAAAACAGGAUUACUGAGGGAUGGCACAGUGCCUGAGGUACCGUGGAACAGACUGCGCACACUUGAGCCAGGAUGGAGGCAUAAACACAGGCUGUCAGUGCAGACAGCAGGAGGACAUCCAGUUCUAUAAUUCACACAUUAACAGGGCACCUGCUGUCUUUCUGAAUUUUGAGGGAAUUGAGUGCUGCAGAGUGCAGGUCUUGUAACACGUCAGAUUAUGGAUGUUUGCCUCAGAACACACCCUGUGCUCUUCAGUGAGAGCUCUGUGAUAUACCUUGAAUUUAGAU